rnacentral:tmRNA from 1 species
GAGUUUGCAUCCACCCAUCACCUCACCUAUAUAAGAAUCGUCCUUCGGGACUAUGGACAUAAACGCGCUCGUAAUAAGCGGAUCGGACCCGGGGGCGGUACCCGGCGGCUCCACCAACCAUCCUUCGUUUGGGGAUUUUGGGGCCGAAACAGGAUCGACGAACGUCUAAAGGGGUUAGCUUUGUCUCGGCUGUCUGCCACCGUUACCGGCGAAAACAGUACAAUUGCAAACGACAAUCGUGCUCCGGUUGCAGUUGCUGCGUAAGCAGUAGCAAGACCGAAACUUAAGCCCUUGCGCCUAGCCGCGUAAGGCGGGGUUCGCAGGUACCUGGCAACAGAAACCUGCAUU